GACGAACGCUGGCGGCGUGCUUAACACAUGCAAGUCGAACGGAAAGGCCCUGCUUUUGUGGGGUGCUCGAGUGGCGAACGGGUGAGUAACACGUGAGUAACCUGCCCUUGACUUUGGGAUAACUUCAGGAAACUGGGGCUAAUACCGGAUAGGAGCUCCUGCUGCACGGUGGGGGUUGGAAAGUUUCGGCGGUUGGGGAUGGACUCGCGGCUUAUCAGCUUGUUGGUGGGGUAGUGGCUUACCAAGGCUUUGACGGGUAGCCGGCCUGAGAGGGUGACCGGCCACAUUGGGACUGAGAUACGGCCCAGACUCCUACGGGAGGCAGCAGUGGGGAAUAUUGCACAAUGGGCGGAAGCCUGAUGCAGCAACGCCGCGUGCGGGAUGACGGCCUUCGGGUUGUAAACCGCUUUCGCCUGUGACGAAGCGUGAGUGACGGUAAUGGGUAAAGAAGCACCGGCUAACUACGUGCCAGCAGCCGCGGUGAUACGUAGGGUGCGAGCGUUGUCCGGAUUUAUUGGGCGUAAAGGGCUCGUAGGUGGUUGAUCGCGUCGGAAGUGUAAUCUUGGGGCUUAACCCUGAGCGUGCUUUCGAUACGGGUUGACUUGAGGAAGGUAGGGGAGAAUGGAAUUCCUGGUGGAGCGGUGGAAUGCGCAGAUAUCAGGAGGAACACCAGUGGCGAAGGCGGUUCUCUGGGCCUUUCCUGACGCUGAGGAGCGAAAGCGUGGGGAGCGAACAGGCUUAGAUACCCUGGUAGUCCACGCUGUAAACGGUGGGCACUAGGUGUGGGGUCCAUUCCACGGGUUCCGUGCCGUAGCUAACGCUUUAAGUACCCCGCCUGGGGAGUACGGCCGCAAGGCUAAAACUCAAAGGAAUUGACGGGGCCCCGCACAAGCGGCGGAGCAUGCGGAUUAAUUCGAUGCAACGCGUAGAACCUUACCUGGGUUUGACAUGGAUCGGGAGUGCUCAGAGAUGGGUGUGCCUCUUUUGGGGUCGGUUCACAGGUGGUGCAUGGCUGUCGUCAGCUCGUGUCGUGAGAUGUUGGGUUAAGUCCCGCAACGAGCGCAACCCUUGUUCACUGUUGCCAGCACGUUAUGGUGGGGACUCAGUGGAGACCGCCGGGGUCAACUCGGAGGAAGGUGGGGAUGACGUCAAGUCAUCAUGCCCCUCAUGUCCAGGGCUUCACGCAUGCUACAAUGGCUGGUACAGAGAGUGGCGAGCCUGUGAGGGUGAGCGAAUCUCGGAAAGCCGGUCUCAGUUCGGAUUGGGGUCUGCAACUCGACCUCAUGAAGUCGGAGUCGCUAGUAAUCGCAGAUCAGCAACGCUGCGGUGAAUACGUUCCCGGGGCU
rnacentral:rRNA from 1 species